rnacentral:precursor_RNA from 12 species
ACCCUGUUGGAGAAUGACUGCCCUUUGGGGUGAGGUAGUAGGUUGUAUAGUUUGGGGGUCGCUCCCUCUGUCUGUGAGAUAACUAUACAGUCUACUGUCUUUCCCGAAGUGGCUGUGACAUCGCCGCUGGAGA